rnacentral:rRNA from 1 species
UACGGAGGUGGCAAGCGUUGCUCGGAAUCACUGGGCGUAAAGGGCGCGUAGGCGGGGAGGUAAGUCGGGUGUGAAAUCCCUCGGCUCAACCGGGGAACUGCGUCCGAUACUGGUGGGCUCGAAUCCGGGAGAGGGCAGUGGAAUUCCCGGUGUAGCGGUGAAAUGCGUAGAUAUCGGGAGGAACAUCAGUGGCGAAGGCGGCUGCCUGGCCCAAUACUGACACUCAGGUGCGACAGCGUGGGGAGCAAACAGG